rnacentral:rRNA from 1 species
UACCUUUUGGUUCGGAAUAACAUCGGGAAACUGGUGCUNAUACCGGAUAAGCCUGUCACUCACUAACCUCAUGGAACAACUAUGUACUACGUGUAUGUGAUCCAGGAUCAGAAUGACCCGGAACGUUUUUAUUUAGGAUCGACACCCGAUCUUAAAAGAAGAUUAUCCGAGCACAAUCUGUGUGAUGGACAUUACACAAGCCACACAAAGUGGCGCAUCGUUUACUAUGAAGCUUAUAUGUCGCUGAAAGCAGCGCGCAGUCGAGAACGUUUCUUGAAAAAAGGAAAGGCUCGGUUGCUGCUGAUGAAGCGCAUUAAGGAUAGCCUCUUAAGUGAGGUUAGUGAGUGACAGGGAAAGAUUUAUCGCCGAAAGAUGGGCCCGCGUUGGAUUAGCUAGUUGGUGAGGUAACGGCCCACCAAGGCAACGAUCCAUAGCUGGUCUGAGAGGAUGAUCAGCCUCACUGGGACUGAGACACGGCCCAGACUCCUACGGGAGGCAGCAGUAGGGAAUAUUGGACAAUGGGGGCAACCCUGAUCCAGCCAUGCCGCGUGAAUGAUGAAGGCCUUCGGGUUGUAAAGUUCUUUUGGCGGGGACGAUGAUGACGGUACCCGCAGAAUAAGCUCCGGCUAACUUCGUGCCAGCAGCCGCGGUAAUACGAAGGGAGCUAGCGUUGUUCGGAAUUACUGGGCGUAAAGGGCGCGUAGGCGGUUUGACAAGUUGGAUGUGAAAGCCCUGGGCUCAACCCGGGAAUUGCAUUCAAGACUGUCUUGCUUGAAUUCGGUAGAGGUUGGUA